rnacentral:rRNA from 1 species
GACGAACGCUGGCGGCGUGCCUAAUACAUGCAAGUCGAGCGAAGAUUUUCUGGUGCUUGUGCUAGAAAAAAUUAGCUGCGAAAGGGUGAGUAAAACGUAAAGAACCUGGCCCCUAGCCUGGGACAAACAUCGGAAAAGAUAGCUAAUAACGGAUAACAGCAUUUCCUGCAUGGUUGAUGUUUAAAAGUUGGUUUUGCUCACACUAUGAGAUGGCUUUGCGGUGCAUUAGCUAGUUGGUGGGGUAAAGGUCUACCAAGGCGACGAUGCAUAGCCGACCUGAGGGGAUGGUCGGCCGCACUGCGGCUGAUGCACGGCCGAGACGCCUACUGGAGGCGGCAGUAGGGAAGAUUCCGCAAUGGUCGGAAGCCUGACGGUGCAACGCCGCGUGGUGAAAGAAGGAUGUCUGUGCGUAAUGCUCUGUUUUUGGGGGAGAAGGAGUGUUGAGUAACUAUACACAGGAUUGACGGUACCUAGCCAGAAAGCCACGGCUAACUACGUG